rnacentral:rRNA from 1 species
GCUUAACGCGAAGAACCUUACCAAGGCUUGACAUGCAUCUCUAAGCGCGUGAAAGCGCGUGACCCUUCGGGGAAUUUGCACAGGUGCUGCAUGGCCGUCGUCAGCUCGUGUCGUGAGAUGUUGGGUUAAGUCCCGCAACGAGCGCAACCCUUGUGACUAGUUGCCAGCACGUUAAGGUGGGAACUCUAGUCAGACUGCCCAGAUCAACUGGGAGGAAGGUGGGGACGACGUCAGGUCAGUAUGGCCCUUACGCCUUGGGCUGCACACGUACUACAAUGCCCAGCACAAUGAGAACCGAUACCGCGAGGUGGAGGAAAUCUGCAAAACUGGGCUCAGUUCGGAUUGGAGGCUGCAACUCGCCUCCAUGAAGUUGGAAUCGCUAGUAAUGCCGUAUCAUCUACGACGGCGUGAAUACGUUCCCGGGUCUUGUACACACCG